GAAUUCUAAUCCAUUCCUUGAAAGUGUUCGCAACCCCUCCCAGCUUGGUGUCAACCAUAAAUUUUAUAAGCUACUCUUCACUCCAUUAUGCAAGUCAAUAAUGAAAAUGCUGAAAAGUACUGGAGCCAGGACAGACCCCUAUGGCACCCCACCAGAUAAGUCAUUUUGAAUGUGGCCCAUUGAUUACUACUUUUGAGCAUAGGCUUUCAACCAGUUAUGCAUCCACUUAUAUUAUAUUAAUGGCAAGAGGAGAAGGACAAAAACCUUAUUUGUCAAAUCAAAAUGAGGAAGAUGUGGCUGGUAAUAGGUAGCACUUAAGUGUUACUUUUCCCCCUUGUAUGUAUAAUUGGUCCUUUUCUGAUUGCAUUUUCCUUUACAGCUACGAAGUUUUUUAAGAUGGUUUUGAAGCUGUUUCUUUGUGGUGUGUUUAGAUAAAUUCAAUGGCAAGUUAUACCAAAUUAUUUGAUUUUGACUAGCAGAUAUAAGAUCUGCAUUGCCUUUAAAAACAAAAGAAAUGAAAUGUGAGGAGACUAGAUACUUUUGUUGCAGUGCAUAAAGCAAAACUGGUAAGCUCCUGUUCUAGAUACAAACCAGCUUCUUUGUUGUCUGAAUGUGAAUUGUAAGCACAUACCUCUAGGGUUGAACAGUGCUGAACUUCCCACUCUCCUGGGCGCAAAGAGGUGAAAUGCCCAUAUAGUCACUGCAGCACUCAGCAGAUCUUGGCAGCAUAGCAACUCUGCCCUAGCAAAACACACUGGGGUACUGGUUCCGAGUAUGGCUUCAGAGAAUCUGUCACGUAGUCCAGUGAUUCUUAACCAGAGGUCCAGGGCCCGCUAGGGGCCACAAGCAGGUUUCAGCGUGUCCACCAAGUAGGGCCAGUGUUAGACUCGCUGGGGCCCCAGGCAGAAAGCUGAGGCCCCACUACAUGAAUUUGAAGCCUGGACCCCCACCACCUAGGGCUGAAGCCGAACCCUGAGCAAUGUAGCUUUGUGGGGGGCCCUGUGCCAUGGGGCCCCAGGCAAUUAUCCUGCUUGCUACCCUAAUGCCAGUCCUGGCUUUUAUAUGCA